rnacentral:lncRNA from 1 species
GGAUUGUGAUUGCAUUGAAGGUCCCCAGACCCUGAAAGAAGAUUACCGGUUUUGCCCUCAGAUUCAAAAUGCACAAGAUGGACAAAAGGCUUGAGUUGUUCAUAGAGAAACUGCCAGCAGGGCUGGAUUUUUCUAUCCCUGGGGUGCUGUGCAACCACUUUGUAGUCCAGUUGUGUUCUUUUAAUUAAGAUAACUUCAUUAUUUCUGUACCUGAUGUACCUAACUGGGAUGGAAAUGAACAAAUUUCCCAACUCUCAUUCUUGGGAGUGAACAUUUGCAUUUACCAGCAGUGGGUGCCAGUUUGCAAAUCUAGGAAAUACCCAGACCAGACUCAAAUUCUUGGCCAGAAGUGCCAACCCCCUGAGGCACCCACAGGGUAGAAAUGUGUAGUCAAUGGCUGGGUGUGGUGGCCCAUACCUGUAAUCCCAGCCCUUUGGGAGGCCAAGUCAGGAAAAUCACUUGAGCCCAGGAGUUCGGGACCAGCCUGGGCAAUAUAGGGAGACCCUGUCUCUACAUUAAAUAAAUAAAUAAAUUAUUUUAUUUAUUUAUUUUUUUAAAAGAAGAAAUGUGCGGUCAACCUAUUAUAUUACCUUACUGCUUUUUCCAUUUAGACUGUGGAGUAAAAGCUCUUACCAUAUUUUGAGCAGUCAAAACACCCACACCACUCUGAACAAAUGCUUUAUUCCACAUUGGGCCUUGAAUUAAGAAUUGCUUAAUUAAGAAAAUGUUUCUUUCCACAUUUAACUAAUCAAAGAAUGUUGGAUGGUCAUGGUAAAAUAAUCCUAGUAGGGUUUACAAUGUACUCUUUUGGCAAAUACAAUAGCUUGUUAGAGAUGGCAAAUAUCUUUUUUUUUUUUUUUUGGUCAUCCAGGCUGGAGUGCAGUGGUGUGCUCUGGUCACUGCAACCUCUGCCUCCCAGUUUCAAGUGAUUCUCCUGCUUCAGCCUCCUGAGUAGCUGGGAUUACAGGCAGGCGCCACCACGCCUGGCUAAUGUUUGCAUUUUUAGUAGAGACAGGAUCUUACUAUGUUGGCCAGGCUGGUCUUGAACUCCUGAGCUUAAGCAAUUCUCCUGCCUUGGCCUCCCAAAGUGCUGGGAUUACAGGCUGAACCCCUGCACCCGGCUGAGUAUCCUAUUUUUAUGAAGAUAGUUUGGUGAUCCAAUUCCGAAUUCUCUUUCACAAAGGCCAGCGAUGUGGACAUCAUAAAGCCAUUCAUUUGCCCACACACAUUUGUAAGGUAAAAGGAGAAUGACCCUUCCCUUCUUCUUUCUUCCCACACCAGAUAGCAAGGCAUGCUGUGUUUGAAAUGUUGAAAGCAUUUGCUUAUAAGAUGUCAUUACAUCUAAAACUAUGUCAGCUUUUCACCUCUCCAGAGUUUAUAAACUUAUGAGUGUUUGGUUAUAAUCUCAAGGCUUUAAUUGCCUAUGCAGAAUUGGUGUAAUUUUAGAGAGCAGCUGACAAGUAUGGAAUUUCCCUUCCAGUUCCUUUUAGUAUCAACAAAAGUUGGCAUUAGUAAUCCAUGUACAGGCAAAUUGCAGGCUUUUUGCUUUACUGGUCAGUACCACCACUCAGCACAUUUAUUGGGGAACAUUUGAGUUGUUAAAAGUUAACAACCAUAUCAUUAUUCUUGUGCCUAAUGAAAGAGGUCUCUGGACAUCAAAGCCAGGGUUUAAUAACUCCCAAAGGUAGAAGAAAGGCCAACCUAUAUUAUUCUAAAAUACUCCUUCGGUUUAAUAAUGUGCUACUGAAAUUAAUAAACAUGCUACUUCCAUCCACCACUGCGGACAGAGGUCUGCAAACCUCACUAAUUUCCAGAAAAAGAUUUCUGAGAAACCAACUGGGGAUACCAAUUUUGUUUUGAGAUCUGCCUCAUUUUGUUUUCUCAUAGAAUAUAGACAUUUCUAAAAUUUCUUUUCUUUUCUUUUCUUUUUUUUUUUGAGACAGAGUCUUGCUCUAUCUCCCAGGCUGGAGUGCAAUGGCAUGAUCUCGGCUCACUGCAACCUUCACUUCGUGAGUUCAAGCCAUUCUCCUGCCUCAGCCUCCCAAGUAGCUGGGACUACAGGCAUGUACCACCAGGCCCGAUUAAUUUUUGUAUUUUUAGUAGCGAGGGGUUUCACCAUGUUGGUCAGGCUGGUCUCGAAAUCCUGACCUCGAGUGAUCUGCCUGCCUCAGCCUCCCAAAGUGCUGGGGUUACAGGCAUAAGACACCACGCCUGGCCUUAAAAUUUCUUAAUAAAAGUAAGUAUGGCGAUUCAUACUAUCACAUAAAUUUAAAAUGAUGCAUGUUGUAUUGAAUUGAUUUGUGUGAUUCUAAACACUUUUUUUUUUUUUUUUUAGACAGAGUCCCACUCUGUCACCCAGGCUGGAGUGCAGUGGCUCCAGCAACUUCUGCCGCCUGGGUUCAAGUCAUUCUCCUGCCUCAGCCUCCCGAGUAGCUGGGACUACAGGUGCACGCCACUACACCCACCUAAUUUUUGUAUUUUUAGUAGAGACGGGGUCUCACCAAGUUGGCCAGGCUAGUCUCGGACUCCCAACUUCAGGUGAUCCGCCCGCCUUGGCCUCCCAAAGUGCUGGGAUUACAGGCAUGAGCCACCACACCCAGCCCUGAUUCUUUUUUUUUUUUUUUUUUUUUUUUUUUGAGAUGGAGUUUCACCCUUGUAACCCAGGCUGGAGUGCAGUGGUGCGAUCUCAGCUCACUGCAACCUCCGCCUCCCGGGUUCAAGCGAUUCUCCUGCCUCAGCCUCCUGAGUAGCUGGGAUUAUAGCCUCUAAACACUUUUAAAAGAGUCAUUUUGGCUGGGCACGGUGGCUCACGCCUGUAAUCCCAGCACUUUGGGUGGCCGAGGCAGGCAGAUCACGAGGUCAGGAGUUCCAGACCAGCCUGGCCAACAUGGUGAAACCCCGUCUCUACUAAAAAUACAAAAAUUAGCUGAGUGUGAUGUCGGGCACCUGUAUCGGGAGGCUGAGGCAGGAGAAUCGUUUGAACCCAGGAGGCGGAGGUUGGAGUGAGCUGAGAUGCGCCACUGCACUCCAGCCUGGGCGACAGGGUGAGACUCCAUUUCAAAAAAGAAAAAAAAAGAGUCGUUCAAUGACAAGAGAAGAGGCUUUCCAUGGCAGCUGUACUGUUGUAGAGUAGCUUUGGGUUGGAGAGAGGGUUUGGGGCCCAGCACCUCACUAGAAAGUCACAAGGCCCAAUGGUGACUUUUCCAACCACCACCACACCCUUAGCAGUUCAGUGGAGAACAAAGUAAUAGUGAUUUCAGAUAGCAGUUAUUUAGUGGAUCAGUAUAGAUUAUCUUCAAGUUUCUGGAUAUAAGAGUUUUUAAACAACAUUUUUUUGGUGUUCUUGGCGGGGGUAGAAAUAACACUUUCUGCCUAGGUACUUAUAUGUAACAGAAUGACUAUUUUAGGCAAUAAUUACAAAAGAAGGAUGUUAUUAAAAUAAUUACUUUUUUCUUAGUAUAAAACAAUACAUGUUCACUGUAGAAACUUCAGAAAAUAUAAACUUUAAAAGAUGAAAUAUUACCCAUAAUUCAUCAAAGAUGAUCACUGUUAGUAUGUUGAUGGACAUGAGGGAUUAUUUUUUUAAUUGCAAAACUUGUUGCAAUAACAAGUUAGUCAAAGCACAACUAUCAAUAGAAUUUUGAGUCUGUUGAGUCAAUGAGUCAGCACUUAAUCCAUUGGAGAUAAUAGGUCAUAGAGAAUGUUCCAGUAAUUCUUGCUAUAUUCAUAAACAUUGAUUAGUGCUGCAGAGUAAGCAACUCUGCCUAAGCACAUUAGCACUUAGCUGACCACAAUUUAUGAUUUAUGCCAGAUGAAUAAUUCACUGAAAUGGAAUCCUUUAUUUGGAGUUAUUUUUCAUGCUUUCCAAUUGCUAAACACAUGGCAGAAGUGAGAAAAAUUGUAAGCUCUUCUGAGGAUAGGAAAGUUAGUUCAAACUUCAUUCUCCUCCCCUAAGUCUAGUACAAGUUUGUCAUUCUGUAAGUAUUUGUUGGUAACAAAUGCUCUUUUUUCUUAUGUAAUCAUGGCAAUUUCCUUAUAACUAAAAAUAAUUGGCUUUAUGGGAAAUUAUGGCCAAAAUUUUAAUGAAAUUAUUCAUACUGCUGGGUCAACAUUUAUAAUUUUGAUUGAAUAAAUAUGUUAUUAGAACUAAUAAAGUGUUAAAAAGUUGAUCUUGCUGUAUUUUUUAUCUGAAUUGUUUUACAGAAACCAUUUCAUUUGAUUUGUUGUGUUCUUCAGAAAAAAAAGCAGACUUUAAAUUAAUCUUGGGAGGCUGAGGUGGGAGGACUGCUUGAGGCCAGG